UGACCGGAGUCUUCAGUUCCAUACGUGUGCUUUAUUCCCUGAUGUGCAUUAAUAUUUCUUUCUCUCCUCAGAUAUUUGUUCACACUUCCGCUUCUGGAGAAGAAUUGUGGGAAUUGUCAUCGCCAUUGCUGUGAUUUUACUCUUAACGUGGAUUACCAUAAAUCCACCUAAAUUACCACAGCUGGAGCCGUGCCCCGAUGACUGGCUGUACUACAAGAAGAAGUGUUACUAUCAUUCAGGAGCUGUGGCAGAUUGGAAUUCCAGUCAGGAGUCCUGCUCUGACCACGGAGGUUCCCUUGCAGUGAUUGACAGCCACCAAGAGCUGAACUUCAUAAUGUAUCGAAUACGCAUAGCAGACUACUGGAUUGGGCUGCGCAGGAAAGGAAACAAAUUCUUCUGGGUGAACGGAAAGUCAUUUGACACAAAUUUAUUUCAUGUCAAUAUAACAAAUGACGGAGACUGUGUCCAUAUAGAUUCAGCCUUCAUCUCUACCAGAAGGUGCUCCUCACUCAGGAACUGGCUUUGCACCAUUGGUCAGUUUAAUCCCAAGACAAAAUCUUAAUAGGGAACAGCUGUGCAAAUACAGAGACUUUCUCCACAAGAAGUUGGAAUUCAGAACACUGAAAGUCCUUGCUGUAGGAGGUCCACAGGGGCAAGAGGUGCUGUGGGAAGGAUCAUAUCCAAACCUCUCCAGGAGAAAUAAUAAUGACUCCAUGAGAAAGAGGUAAUUGGUUAAUAAGUGGCACCACCGAGGAAACGAUGAUACAACGGCUGUUGCAAAAAACAGAAGUUACUUCUUGCUAAUACAGGUUCAUUGUUGAAACUGCUGAAGGACAUGGCAAUGGAUACUUUUCUUGAGAACUCUUCACAAUCACAAAACAUAAUUUUUUAGGGCAGCUGAAAACAUUGUUAGAGGGACAUGAAGGUCUUCCUGAAAAUGCAAUUCAUAGUGAACCCAAUGAUGUGUUUUUUCCUGUUUUCUGUGGCACUCAGUAAUUCUUUGUCUGAGAACUUUCAGUUUGUCUUUUUGGUAAGUGGGUGAGAUUUCAUAAAGUGUUUUGACUUCCCUCCCCUUCUUUUUCCAUGGAGUUUUCAAAUGUUGUUGGUAUGUAAUGUCCAACGAUAUAAAUGGGAGCUUUGUAAACCAGGAAGGCAGAUAAUGACUAGGUCUUCUAGCAAAUGGCACUGUUGUUACGGGGCAUAUAGAGUGGGACAGAUUACAAAUAUUCUUCUCUGUCCCUCUGGACUGAUCUGGAAACAUGACUGCUACUGCCCAAAACUUCCCUGAAUAUGUGGGUGCAAUAGGAAGGCUCCCAGACUGAAUCAUGCACAACUGUCGUUUUGGGAGGGCUGACAAAGUCAACUGGAUUUAGAAGGGGAGAGAUACGUAUAUCUAGCAUGGAAAGGGCUCUAGGGCAGCUUGAAGUGAGGUGCUGUGGAGUUUAUCUGUUUGCCUGUGCGGGGGGAAAAAAAGCUUUUAUUGUCUCCAGCACGGCUAUUUUAUCAAGUAACUUGUGUGGGCAAGGAUAGUUUAACAGUCCGUGGGACAGAUGCACUAGGGCAAAAUAGCAUAGCACCCUGGAUUAAUCUGUUUAAAUUCUUGGUGUGAUGCCCUGAAGAUGGGCAGUGGGGGCAUGGGAAGCUCACCUGGCAGAUCUGUGGUUGGUUCCUGUCUGGUCACUCAGGUUCAGCAGAUACCUGUACAAUGCCUGCUUCCCAAGAUACAUGAUUUACAAAGGGUGGUUACUGUCUUUAAAAAUGUGUAACCAGAAGAAAGGCCUUUUAAGCUAGGAAAAUAUUCUAGUCCGGAAAUAAUACCGAGUUAAGCUCAGAGAAGCUCACAGGGAAGAUGAAGAGUCUGGCAUAUUGAUCUGCAAAGAAAUGGGAAGAAGAAAUUGCAAAUUGCUGUAAAUGCACUUGGUAUUUAUCCAGGAGAGGUACUCCUUUGGAGGGAAAGAAAGAGGUGAGACGAGAAACCGGAAGAGAGUAUUCAAUAUCUCUUCAUUCUCCAUGGUAGUUCCCCAAGAAAGCACGAGAACAGAAGGGGCAGCACCUUGUAAGGAAGCGUGGACAGGGUUCAGGUUGCAGGGUAGGGACCUAUUUCCCACCAUGUGUCAAAAGUCCAGUUAAAAGAGUCAGCACGAAGUGCUCGACAGGGUGAGAAAUCCAUUUUGCUGUCUCUGUAAA